UGUUCUGUGGCGAAGUUGGUUAACGCGCCCUGUCUAGCGAACUUGGGGAGACGUGGGUUCAAAUCCCACCAGAACUA
rnacentral:tRNA from 1 species